GAUGAACGCUGGCGGCGUGCUUAACACAUGCAAGUCGAACGGGAAACCUUUUAUUGAAGCUUCGGCAGAUUUAGCUGGUUUCCAGUGGCGGACGGGUGAGUAACGCGUGGGUAACCUGCCUUAGACAGGGGGAUAACAGUCAGAAAUGGCUGCUAAUACCGCAUAAGCGCACAGAGCUGCAUGGCUCAGUGUGAAAAACUCCGGUGGUAUAAGAUGGACCCGCGUUGGAUUAGCUGGUUGGUGGGGUAACGGCCCACCAAGGCGACGAUCCAUAGCCGGCCUGAGAGGGUGAACGGCCACAUUGGGACUGAGACACGGCCCAGACUCCUACGGGAGGCAGCAGUGGGGAAUAUUGCACAAUGGGGGAAACCCUGAUGCAGCGACGCCGCGUGAAGGAAGAAGUAUCUCGGUAUGUAAACUUCUAUCAGCAGGGAAGAUAAUGACGGUACCUGACUAAGAAGCCCCGGCUAACUACGUG
rnacentral:rRNA from 1 species